GGAUGCAGUUUUGGGUGUGCUACCUUUGAAUUUCAGAACUUCAAAGAAAUGCAUCCCUGCUUUUAAAUGUGUUGCAAAUCUUCCCCCCUACUGUUGUGAGCAGAGAAAAAGAAUUGCUCAUAGGAAGAAAAGAAACGGGAACUGGAUGAGAGAGGACCAGUUGAGAGGCGAGGAAUGGGGAAAGAACGAUGCUCCAAGCAUAAAAUCCAAGCUGCUGACCUUGAAGGCUGAAGAUCUCAAAUUUUUAAGCAAGUCCAGAAAUGCAUUCUUAGACUGCAAGGGCUCCUUCCUGGCAGAAGGCAUGACCAUUGUGCACUGUGUCCAGCUACCACGAGCUGAACACCCAACCACUUUCCCUACAGGUGUACGGGGAUGCUCAAACAACCAAACACGUUGGUUGACUGAACCUGAAGCCUGGCCAAACAGAAGCUCUUGUGUCUAA
rnacentral:lncRNA from 1 species